CUCAUCUGGAGAUUCCCUCUUCUGGUGUUUGCUGUAGGUGAGCCUGGCAUAUGGGUAAAUUUUCAGAAUUUCAUCCAAAGCUUGCAUCCCCUGUGAAAUUGUCCUUGACGAAAAGACUUACAUUAACUGUGAUCAGAAUGUACCAGCUUUUGAAAGAAUUCUCCAUCAUCUUCAGGCUGAAACACUAAUGUGAUAUUUACAGCUUAUAAUCUACUUCUGCAUGAACAGACAGACCAAGGGACAUAUUUUGAAACAGUCUCCCAGUGAGUGAAAUCUUCACACAGGAGGGGUUAUAGGUCAUUUGACAUUAGGCCAGAUUAUCUUCUUUCCUUCCUAGUGAAACCCAGAUAUUGUAAUAUGCUUCUGGAAAUCCUCUAUUAAGAAGUGCCUGAAAGGCAAAGACUGAGGUGAGCAUCACACAGUGCCCAUUCAUUACUUAGUAGCUGCUGGUUUUAAUGCAGGCAACUAGUGCAGGACUGGAUUUCACAAGAACAUCUCAUCACUACAGACAGUUAAUGUAAUACAAAAGUCCACUGGAGUACAAUAGUCUCCUACUUCUUUUCUCUAGUAUUUAUUGUUACUGCUCUUUUUAUUUGUAACCUAUUUAUAACUAGGUUGCAUUGUUAUUGGUGGUUACCAUCAGUCCCUCUUCUCAAUAUGUAUUCUUAAAAUAAAAAAAAUCAAUGAAAGAAGCCAAAUCUUUAUUAAGAAGUAAACUUAUUUUUAAAACUUUGGGUAUCAUUUGUCACUGUUAGAAUCUAUAUUCUUCAUAUUGUUUAAAGUAUUUCAUUUGCAUCACUUCAGCUAAUUAUAUGCUUGGAUAAAUGGUUUUCAUUAUGAAUUACUGUUCAAGUUCUGUGAAUGAUGAUUAAUUUCUUUUUCUUUCAAGCAAGUAAUCAUGCUUCAUUCAUUGUAUCUGAAUGUUUAUAAUCUCUUUUCAAAAACAUGUGGGUGCCUGUAUUGUUACAGAGAUGCCAUUACUCAGACUGCGGUAUAUUUAUGCUUGAGAAUGACAUCAAUACUCCAGUGGCUUAAGAUUUCCCAGUACUAAUAAACUUGUAAGCAAGAUAACUGAACUUCUGAAAUACAGUGGAAAGUAUCUUU